GACGGUCAGUAAAUUCCUGAAAAAAGAAAUCAUAUGUCAAUAUGGAAUGUUAAAAGGAUCAUAUUAGACAAUGUAUUUGAACAACCGCAGGACAUCAGAAGUUUACAAUCUGUUUAAGAUUAACACCAUGUCUCCCCAAAAUGAACGGUUCAGUGGAGGCAAAAAAAACAAAAAAACACCAAAAACAUAAAAAAACCUCUACCGGGG
rnacentral:lncRNA from 1 species